rfam:Picea glauca, whole genome shotgun sequence.
UCAUAUGUACAUGCCUAUAACGUUAAUGCACUUAAUACCAUUAAAACUCCACAGUUAAGUGUGUUUGGGCUAGAGUAGUACUAGGAUGGGUGACCUCUUAGGAAGUCAUAGUGUUUUACAUGCC